GCGAGGUGGUGCUAAUCCUAGAAAAUUCUUCGUAGUCCGGAUUGGAGUCUGCAACUCGACUCCAUGAAGUCGGAAUCGCUAGUAAUCGCGAAUCAGCAUGUCGCGGUGAAUACGUUCUCGGGUCUUGUACACACCGCCCGUCACACCAUGGAAGUGGACUGCACCAGAAGUAGAUAGUCUAACCUUCGGGAGGGCGUUUACCACGGUGUGCUUCAUGACUGGGGUGAAGUCGUAACAAGGUAGCCGUAGGGGAACCUGUGGCUGGAUCACCUCCUU
rnacentral:rRNA from 1 species